GGACUACCCGGGUAUCUAAUCCCGUUCGCUCCCCAUGCUGUCGCGUUUUAGCGUCAGGUACGGCCCAGCGUGUCGCCUUCGCCACUGGUGUUCCUCCGGAUCUCUACGCAUUUCACCACUACACCCGGAAUUCCACACGCCUCUACCGUCCUCUAGUCAACCAGUAUCCAACGACCUCUCGCGGUUUAGCCGCGAGCUUUCACGCCAGACUUAGUCGACCGCCUACACGCCCUUUACGCCCAGUAACUCCGGAUAACGUUUGUCUCCUACGUUUUACCGCGGCGGCUGGCAC
rnacentral:rRNA from 1 species